rnacentral:rRNA from 1 species
GACGAACGCUGGCGGCGUGCCUAAUACAUGCAAGUCGAGCGAAGUUUUUCUGGUGCUUGCACCGGAAAAACUUAGCGGCGAACGGGUGAGUAACACGUAAAGAACCUGCCUCAUAGACUGGGACAACUAUUGGAAACGAUAGCUAAUACCGGAUAAUAGCAUUAACUGCAUGGUUGAUGUUUAAAAGUUGGUUUUGCUAACACUAUGAGAUGGCUUUGCGGUGCAUUAGCUAGUUGGUGGGGUAAAGGCCUACCAAGGCGACGAUGCAUAGCCGACCUGAGAGGGUGAUCGGCCACACUGGGACUGAGACACGGCCCAGACUCCUACGGGAGGCAGCAGUAGGGAAUCUUCCGCAAUGGGCGAAAGCCUGACGGAGCAACGCCGCGUGAGUGAAGAAGGAUUUCGGUUCGUAAAGCUCUGUUGUUAGGGAAGAAUGAGUGUGUAGUAACUAUACACAGUAGAGACGGUACCUAACCAGAAAGCCACGGCUAACUACGUG